rnacentral:tRNA from 1 species
GGGCACUUAGCUCAGUGUUUAGAGCUUCACUCUAUAAUUUUGAGGUUUCAGGUUCAAUUGCUGCAGUUUACA